rnacentral:rRNA from 1 species
CCCGCAACGAGCGCAACCCUUAUCCUUUGUUGCCAGCGGUUAGGCCGGGAACUCAAAGGAGACUGCCAGUGAUAAACUGGAGGAAGGUGGGGAUGACGUCAAGUCAUCAUGGCCCUUACGAGUAGGGCUACACACGUGCUACAAUGGCAUAUACAAAGAGAAGCGACCUCGCGAGAGCAAGCGGACCUCAUAAAGUAUGUCGUAGUCCGGAUUGGAGUCUGCAACUCGACUCCAUGAAGUCGGAAUCGCUAGUAAUCGUGGAUCAGAAUGCCACGGUGAAUACGUU